UAACACAUGCAAGUCGAGCGGCAGCGACAACAUUGACCCUUCGGGGGAUUUGUUGGGCGGCGAGCGGCGGACGGGUGAGUAAUGCCUGGGAACAUGCCUUAGUGUGGGGGAUAACCAUUGGAAACGAUGGCUAAUACCGCAUAAUCUCUACGGAGCAAAGAGGGGGACCUUCGGGCCUCUCGCGCUAAGAUUGGCCCAGGUGGGAUUAGCUAGUAGGUGGGGUAACGGCUCACCUAGGCGACGAUCCCUAGCUGGUCUGAGAGGAUGAUCAGCCACACUGGAACUGAGACACGGUCCAGACUCCUACGGGAGGCAGCAGUGGGGAAUAUUGCACAAUGGGGGAAACCCUGAUGCAGCCAUGCCGCGUGUGUGAAGAAGGCCUUCGGGUUGUAAAGCACUUUCAGCAGUGAGGAAGGCGGUAUCGUUAAUAGCGGUAUCGUUUGACGUUAGCUGCAGAAGAAGCACCGGCUAACUCCGUGCCA
rnacentral:rRNA from 1 species